CAGGUAGCUGGGUCACUUCCACAGCUCUUUCCGGUCGCCCAGCUGCUGUCCAAGCUGUCAACUCACUUGGGAGCAGAGGAAAGGCUGAGAUUUACCCCUCCCUCACUGUCCAUUUUCGAGGGUUUUGCAUUUUCUUGACAGGGCGGAGCGGGAGGAAGCAGCUUCGUUCGACCAGAGACCCGAGGGACACUCUGGGGCAGUCAGGAGUGGCUGUGCACAAACAUUUCUGCUUGCGUGCAAGGUUUCCUUUGGGGGUGAGUUUGUCACCCAGCUGCGAGCUCCUAUAAAUCACUCAAACCACUAGCCAAAUCAGCCCCCUCUACGGUUCCACGCCUCCGGUCUCAGGCCGAACGCAAAGUGGAAGGAACCGCCGCCGUCCCAGACCCCAGACACAUCUCCAGCAACACCCCCCCUCGGCCGUAAGCCGCAGCUGCCUCCCAUCCAAGUUUCUUAUCUGCUAUCACCAGGCUUACCAGGCAGAAGUGCGCAGCGUGAGCAGGGCCCCAGGGCUGCCCGCAGAGGGUUAUCGCCUGAGGCCAGAGAAACGGCGCUUCCUCUUCGUACGGCUGGAUACUGCCGUGGAGUCUGGGCUCCUCGGCGCGACAAGGAAAUCAACCAGACAGAGACUACAAGGGACACGCACAGCAGAGGAGCAGAAGAAGCAGCACGGAAGCAGGUGACUAAUUAAAGACACCGAGACUGGGACGAUGACGAACAAAGCGGAGCUGGGGAGACCGCGGUUCGGGGCAGUGCUGAGGAAGGACGCUUCGCCAGGAACCCUGUCAGGCAAUUUAGACGGCCCUCCAGUUGCAGCACCGUGACCUUUCAGAUUUAAGGAGCCGACAGCAUGACAGCUACGCUUUUUAAAAUCCCGUGACCGUGAAAGUGGCCAGAGGGGAGCUGCGACGUCUGGCUGCGACGGAGCCGGCUCCUUCCCCUUCCCCUUGCAGGCAGUGGGCCUUGCACAGAGAGGCCCAGGGAGCAACGUCCAGCCCCAAGAUCCAGCCCCAAGAUCCGGGGCCCAGGCUGGAUCGUUGCCAUGGCAGCAGGAAGGCCCGGCAUUGCCACCCACUGCGGGAAGGCCAGGGCGGGGGAAAGGGACCACGACCGGCGGCCCCUCCGUCUGCACGGCAGCACCUCCCGGGCGCCAGACGAGGCGGCGGAAUGGAGGCCUGAGGGCUGGAAGCAGCCUGCUGCGCACACCCCUCCAGGUGCGACACCGUAUUCACGCCAUCCCCACGGUGGGGAUUUGCGAGACCUGAGCCCAGGUCGGCGGAGCUCCAAGCAGGCAGCGCUUCGCGCCAGCCCCCGACAGCCUCAGCAGAGCCCCACCCAAUGCUGGGAGACCAGCCGCCGCAGGAAGUGACACCCACGCCGCCCCUCCCGCGAACUCUCAUUGGCCCAGACCGAUUAUUUAAGCCGGGAGAGAGUGCAGGAAAUCGUCUGUGUGCUCGGCAGAUCCCAGAUCUGCUGCCAAGAUGGCCCUUGCCUUGCUCCUGGUCCCCACUUCUGCACCCUGCCCAGCCCUGCGGUUCCUGGCUACUGGUUCUAGCCUGACCCUGGGCUCUGGACUGCGGCUACCGACUCCGGCUUAAUCCCUCAGGCCUGACUGCUUCCGGCUCGAACCACUGAACCCGGCUGCCUACACCCUGCCCCGCAGAGCUUGCACUCUCCAGUCAAGAGGCAGAGAGAGGCGGGCGCGCAGGGAGGAGUUCUAAGGAAAAGGCAAUUCGUAGCAGGGUGCGGAUGAAGCUUGUGAGUGGCCAGUAUCCACGUUAGGUCUGAAUCGGAGACCAGACUGGGCAGAAGCAGCGAGCUCUGGAGAAGAAGGGUGGGGUGUGGCAGAGAAGCACUCCAUUGUGUAGUCUGCGGAAGGCUGGGAUACUGUGGUCUCCUUCAGAUUACUUGGUGUCAUAAAUAUAAAGGGAAGGGUAACCACCUUUCUGUAUACAGUGCUAGAAAAUCCCUCCUGGCCAGAGGCAAAAUCCUUUCACCUGUAAAGGGUUAAGAAGCUCAGCUAACCUGGCUGGCACCUGACCCAAGGACCAAUAAGGAAACAAGAUACUUUCAAAUCUUGGUUGGCUAGAGUUACGCACAAGAAAGCAGGAAAAUGACUACCAGCGAAGCAGUGAAUAAACUAGAGCUGGCAGGGCCGGUGCAACCACGCGGCAAACUAGGCGGUCGCCUAGGGCACCAAGUGCUUGGGGGCGGCGGUGGAGCGGAGAGGCAGGACGUGGACAGGCCCAGGUCGGUGACGGCCAGCAUGCAGAGGAAAUAGUACAUGGGCCCACGGAGGCUUGGUUCUGUCUUCACGAUGAACAGGAUGGUGACGUUCCCCGACAUGGCUAUGACGUACAUGGCACAGAAGGGGAUGGAGAUCCAGACAUGGGCCGCCUCCAGGCCAGGAAUGCCCAGCAGGAUGAAGGUGGAGGGGUUGGUGAAGUCGGUUGUGUUGGACUCUGACAUGGAGGCAGGGAGAACGUGUCCAACUCUGAGGCAGAACGGUGUCUCCUGCGUGUACCGUAGGGUGCAGGGUGAUGGUCGCUUUACAAAUGCCUAGAUGGAGAGACAAUGUGAAUAUGAGACACUACAUACACUAGCGGAGACUGUUCUUGCAAGUGAAGUAGAUUGGUUGCUCUUCAUACACUGAGAAAUGACAUUCUUAUUAUUUAAAUAAAUGAAUUUUGAACAACUGA